AUUGAACGCUGGCGGCAUGCCUUACACAUGCAAGUCGAACGGCAGCACGGGAGCAAUCCUGGUGGCGAGUGGCGAACGGGUGAGUAAUAUAUCGGAACGUGCCCAGUCGUGGGGGAUAACGUAGCGAAAGCUACGCUAAUACCGCAUACUAUCUAUGGAUGAAAGCGGGGGAUCGCAAGACCUCGCGCGAUUGGAGCGGCCGAUAUCAGAUUAGGUAGUUGGUGAGGUAAAGGCUCACCAAGCCGACGAUCUGUAGCUGGUCUGAGAGGACGACCAGCCACACUGGGACUGAGACACGGCCCAGACUCCUACGGGAGGCAGCAGUGGGGAAUUUUGGACAAUGGGCGCAAGCCUGAUCCAGCAAUGCCGCGUGCAGGAUGAAGGCC
rnacentral:rRNA from 1 species